UAUGACUUCAGCAAAUGUCUUUGAUUACAUUUGAACAUUCCUCUGUUACUUGUCUGCUGGUUAAAAUCUUGAUAUACAUAACUUGGCUGAGCAUCAGACCUUCCUCAUUUCUUCCUGGAGAAGAGCAGUCUUUCAGUACCAGCUGCAGUCCUACAGGUGGUAAAUCUUCUCUAUUUUCAGAGCAUCCCUGGGAAGAACCCUGGAGUGAAGGAGGAGAAGCACAGGGGGUGGUGUGGCGCUGAACAGAGCCUGGAAAUGCUAUAUCUCUCAAAAUGCUGCACUCCAGGGAGCCCUGAAAGCUGCUGCAACCUAUCUCAGAAAAUGCUAUGUCAGAAAGAAAAAUAGAUUUUUUUCCUAAACUUCCUUGAAUUCUAAAGACAACAUUUAAGGCAAUCCUAAGAAGUAGCCACAGAAUGUGACUUUUUUCCCUUUUUUUUUUUUUUUUUUUUUAAGUGCUUGUCUGAAAAUACUGCCUGAUAUGCCUGGAGAGAACCUUGGAGUACCAAAGGAAAUACUUGUGUCAUUGGCUUACUAAAUGAAUAGUAACUCUAUGGAUGUCAGAAUGAUUCAGGGAAAGGAUGCAUUGCAAGGAAAUGCUCAGUUGGAUUGUUUUCGCUUCCUUCUUUCUUUGACAGUUUUGUCUUUCCAUGGGCUGCCCUUCUGUCAGAUGUGUCUCCUUUCUGCUGGAGAACUUGGUGUCAAAUCAAACUGUACUGGGACAAAAAUAAGCCAAUUGAGUGAGUAAACAGUUGCCUGGAAAGACCAGGUACCAUCAAACAAAUAUGUUUAAAAUUGACACAAGAUGCUGUUUUCCUGCUCUGAUAGACUCAUACCCAUGCUUUAAUUGUAUCCAAACAACCAUCUGCUAUGAAAAGCAGUGCACUUGCUUUGCUGAUGUAAUCCUUAUCGGAGACUGGGAAAGCCUUGUUCUGCUUUGGGAAGCCAAGAUGCUAGGAACAUUUAUUUCAUUCAUAGUAAUGCACUUCUAAAACAUACCUUUAGGCAAACAUUUGUGCAUUUUAGUACAAAUAUUCAUCGAGGACACAUAUUCUUGGUUGUUUGCCCACAUAGAUAUGAAUAGCAUUUGAUACAUACUCAUUCUUAGUAACUCUCAAGGUUUUCUGCCUUUUCCCUUUGUCACUGAUGAAAGCAGAUAUUUGUCAGUAAAUAUUGUGUUUGGGCACACCAACAUUUCAAGAUACUGCCUGAAAAUGUGUGUUGAAGGUGUAAAGAAUUGAGGAGAAACAAGAGAAAGAAAAAUGAAAGAAGCCUUUCCUCGAUGAAUAAAAUGGGUUUUUCUGUUUUUGUAACUCAAAACAUGCGUAGGUGAAUGAAUUCUACACAAAUUCAGCUUCAGGCAGAGCCUGGGAAAAGGUGGUGAAAGUACUGGAAAAGUGUGCUCUGUAAUGAAGUCUCCUAGAUUUUAACAUUGGUGAAUUUGCAUAUAAUUAAAAGGUAAUGGAACAUGAUAUUUCCUUUAGUUCCCAUCUAAGCUAAAACAGUAGAAAGUGUAAUUUAUUAAAAAGAGCAUAAGCAGCAUUUUCCCUUCCUUUAAUCAGACCUAUGACAAUCAGAAAAAUCAAAAGUAAAUCUAAACCACAUGUGUAUAAUUCAAAACAUAAACAGAUUCUUUAGCUUAUAUACAUACUGUGAGAAAAUAGUUGGGUAAAUAGCAUCAUUGUGCUCCUGGGAAACAAUGGCAGAGACAUUGUAUGGCUGAAUUUUCAGAGACUGAAAUUUCUUUACAGAGCAACCUAUAAAAAUUUAUUGUCUAAAUCUUGCUGUAAAAUCUAUCAUGUUAUGGGCAUUUUGAUCAUACUGAAUUAAUCCUUCUCUCUCUUCUCUCUCUCUCUCUUUUUUUUUUUAAUGGGUACUUCAACAG
ensembl:lncRNA